rnacentral:rRNA from 1 species
UGAGGAAUAUUGGACAAUGGAGGCAACUCUGAUCCAGCCAUGCCGCGUGAAGGACUAAGGCCCUAUGGGCUGUAAACUUCUUUAGACGCAGAGCAAUAAGGUCCACGAGUGGAUCGAUGAGAGUAUGCGUAGAAUAAGCAUCGGCUAACUCCGUGCCAGCAGCCGCGGUAAUACGGGGGAUGCAAGCGUUAUCCGGAUUCAUUGGGUUUAAAGGGUGCGUAGGCGGCUUGGCAAGUCAGCGGUGAAAGGCCCGGGCUCAACCCGGAAAGUGCCGUUGAUACUGUCAGGCUAGAAUGCGGAUGCUGUGGGAGGAAUGAGUGGUGUAGCGGUGAAAUGCAUAGAUAUCACUCAGAACACCGAUUGCGAAGGCAUCUCACAAAUCCGUGAUUGACGCUGAGGCACGAAAGCGUGGGGAUCGAACAGGA